AGCUUAUCCCGUCACUCACCCCAUGCAGGGAGCAAUCAGUGGCAGCAGCAGUUGGGGCUGGCAGACCCCGGCUGUGGCCUCCCCGGGGGCAGAGAGAGUGGAGGGGGGAAUAAACUCCCUCCCUACCUCCUCUGCCCAGGGGGCCACGCUGGCAACAUCUGGCCAUGCCCCUGCCCCUGCUGCUGCAGCAGUGAGGGGGGAACUUCAGGUGGACCCCGGCUCAGGUCCGUGCCAGUGGGACAGGGAGGGGGAAUUAAACUCCUGCCCUGGCCAGUUCGCUUGAGGCAUGGGUCCCCCAGCACAGCUUCUCUGCAGCUAAGGGCAUGCUCUAGUGCCCCCCGGCUCCUGGCCUGAGCCACUGCAGGCACAUGCCUUCAUUUCCUGAAUAUCUAUUCAUUCCAAAUUGGUUCAAUCUAGGCAGGUUAGACUAACCUGCAAAGAUUGAAUCAAUUCAGGUUCUGGCAUUUUGAAUGUCUGUUCUUAUCCCAUAUUGAACACUGCAAAGUAAACUGCGAAACUGCUACUAUCACUUAGUAAGACAUGAGUGGUUUUGAAACCCUUCCUCAAAUUUUCAUAGCCUACUACAAUCGCAUGGCCAUAUUCAGCACAGGAGUACCUGUAAAUGGGACACUGAAUCAUUCUGUAUCUGAUAGUCUUCCAGCUUCCAGUGCCCACCUUGUGGUGAAGGUCCAUAUCUGCUCCCUAGCCUACACUGUCUUGCUAUGAAUAAGACUCACUACUGUUCUAUUCUUAUGGUCCCUUCAGAUUGGUUUGUUUAUUAAAUCUCAUAGGAUAUUUAAAUAUGUUUAAGGAGAUUGUAGGGCAACAAAACAGAUAGUAGUUCUUCUCCUGCUUUUCAGAAAGUCAGUCGAAAUUUUGUGGGAUUAGUCUUAUAGUUUAGAUGUGUGUAUUUAUUGCAUGCCCUUAUUUUUACUGGAAAACAGGGACUGUCUUCAUAGCAUUUCUUGAAGCAAGCCACUGCUUACAAAAGCAGAGGUUUUAGCUCAUCUGUAAGGUAAAAAUCUACCCUGCCUUCUGCUUCACUUCAGGCUAAUAUGGCUAACUAACUUUCUCUCUCUCUCUCUUUCUCUCUCUCUCUAACUAUCCAAACACUUUCAGGAUAAAUGCACAUUAUGCAAGACUUGCAAAGGCAUAAACUGAAAAGAAGAUCCAAACUGAGUUGUUUUCCACUCAGAGUUUAAAGCUAAAGCAAACUUUAGCUGACACCACUAAUAUUUUUUAUGGGAGAUUUUGUAAAAAGACUGUUACUGGCUCCACGCAGUAUGGCACUUUCUGAAUCUCCACCCUCUGUUAAUCCGUUCCAGAAGCCAUGCCAGUACACAACCCACCAGUUUUAAUGGUUGACAGCUGUUUUCAUAUACUGUAUAUUACAUGUACAGUAUGCAGGGCUCUGGAAUUAUCUUCCCCUCCCUCCACCUAAAUUAGUUCAUUUCCUUUUCCCAGCACUGCUGCUUAAUUCCUGUGGGACAGAUGGAUAGGGGGAAGAACAAACAGCAGCCAGCACAUAAAAAUGGCAUGGAUCUAAUGUGUACUUGGAAGUAACUUCACAUAUUUGGAAGGACAAUGGCUCUUUCAAGACCUGAAUUUCCCACAUAUCAAGAUCAGUGAAGUGUUUUCCUAACUUUCUGUUUAGGCAUUUCAAAAGGAACACCUGACAUCAGAAGAAGCCAGUGAAAGAGCAUGUUUCAGGAAGCUAAAAGGAUCUGACAGCUGGUGCAUAAAAGACAUUUUAAGUGGGCACAGUGAGACCCGAAAAACAACUGGCACGAAUUAGCAUAGCUUCACUGAAGUGAGCAGAACUGUACAGACUUAUAAUAGUUGAGAGUCUUGUUCAUUGUCUGGAGACAACAGACAAAAACUCUACUUUUCAUGGCUGGCCCUUGCUCUGAAGGUGUAACAGUCAUGAUUCCUGCACUGGGGUGUACAGAGAUUGCUCUUACCUCACAAUAUUACAGAGCACAUUUUUAGCCUCUGCCACAACUGGUAAAGAGAGAUGGGAAAGGACCCAUUGUUAGAGACAUACAGAGGCAUAGGUACGAGAAAAAGAAGGAGGACAGAAUGCCCUGGGGUGCUGAAUGGCCACAAGCUUCAUCCCAUAUUGACAUACUCCUUUCAGCAGGGUGCUUCUCUAGAGGAGGAUGCUGCUACAAUUUUGCCUUGCCUCGUUGAAAAGCUGUCUACACAAACAGGAAUUCCCAUGAUGCCAAAAGACUGUGGGAGGGGCUGUGUCUGAACUCCUGGGAUGAUAAGUUGGAUGCUGGCUCUAUGUUACACACCUGCAGCCUGGCCAUUUGAACCCCCUUUUUGGCAAGGGCCAUUGAGUAUUCACAUUGAUGUAGUCAUGCUUCUUACAGUAACUACAGCAAAAAGGGAAACAGCACAUUUGAGAAACAUGUCCUUAACUAUCUGUUCUAUGCAGAGGAAUAAGGAGAGCAUCACAGUUCUGUUGGGUAGGGUUUAGGCGUCCAACAGAAAUGCUGUAAUGAUGGGCGGUUUUAUUGCCGAAGAGAAACCAAGCUCUUUAUCUCUUGAUGACACAGAUCUGAAUGUUUGCACAUGUUUGAGAAGACACGUUUUUGGGGGAGUAUCAAUAUUAUUUUACCCUGCUGUUUGCAUAAUUUUUCCUCACUUGCAAGAACAAGGGAAACAUUCCAAAGAGGCUUCCAUUAUAACUUCCACUUUCUCACACACUCCUUUCUGAAAUUGAAUCUUUUUUGGCUGAAAUUUCCCAUGCUUUGUUUCUUCUUAAUAGCAUUAUUUUGGCUGAGACUCUGGGAUUCUGCAUGAGAGGGCUUAGGAGGGGAACAGAACAGUUACCCAUAGGGACCCUCAUGUUUCCAUCUAAGAAGGAGCCAAGCCAUUUGAAGUAAUUUCCAUUCGUCCCUGCUGUUUCCUGGAGAUGGGACAGGAAUAUUUGCUGAUCAACAGUCAUGUAUGCAUUAUGUUUAUUGCUUAUUUUAGUAGACUUUUUAAAAUGAUUCAUUUAGACUACAACCUUUUCAUUGCAGGGAGCUUUUCUUAUUUGUCUGUCAAGACCUUUAUGCUAUAUACAUAAUAAUAAUCUAUAUAAUCUUUAUUCACACAUCCAGGAGUACCAUCUGUCUCCCUGCUCUACCUACCAAAAAUAUUGUCACAUUUUCAACACACACUCGACUCAUUGCUGCUGACACACUUAGCAGAAUGACAUCUGUUCAUGUACUGUAUCUUAUAGAUUCUUUGUUGGGCCCAGCUGCUAUAUGCUUGAUACAAUGAAGUAUCUCACUAAUUUCAGGAAUGCCUAUUUUUCUUGAAAGAGAUUAAAAGUGUUUAGGUUUGACAGUGCAUAUUUAUCUUUAUACAAACCAACUUUAAACAUUAUACAAGUGGAGUGAGAAAAUGGUUCUUAGAACUUUGAGUGAGAACUUAGUAGGUAGCACUUGACUUGCUGCUAUUUAUAAAUAGUGAUAAUGAUGAUACAGUUUAAUGAGCUGGAAAACUUUAAUGCUUUAUAAAACACUUGACAAACUUCAAUUCUCAUUGGGUUACCUGUGAUUUUUGCCUUUUUGUAAUCCAUGAGCAUCGAUGUUGAGCUGGUUGUAUGCUGUAGAUGACCACAUACUUUGCUUUCCCUGUCAGGUUUAUUUUUAACUUCUUCAGAUACUGUGGUUUGGUGCUAUUGGAAACUAUCUCUUGGGGUAAACUAUCUCUUGGGGACCGCUGGUCUAGGGAAAAGAUUAGUUAUGGAAGUGGAUUAAGGAUAAUAGCUUCAAAAAGUGUCUUAAGUAUUACUUUUGGGGUGCCUGUAUACUUUUGCAAACCCAGCCACCUAUCUGCAUCCAUCUUUAGUUACCUAAAAUCUGGUCCUUAAACCCUAUUUUGCAAGGAACUCAGGUACAUCACUACAAGUUAAAAAAGGUGCCCCCAAGCACUCUUGAAAACUUUGCCCUAGACUUCUGGAGACCUGAGCAUCAUGGGCUUCUGGUACAACCAAAGGCAAAUAGACAAAACUUAUAUGCUUGAGUUUCCCAGCCACAAAUUGGAAUAAUCUUAGCCCCACUAGACUGGUGUGAGGGCAGCCUCAUUAAUGUUUGAAGUGCUUGGGUGCUAAGUGGUAAAGGCCAUAUAAGUGUCAGCUUUGCUUUGGAAAACAUUAAAUGUAGUUGUGUUAACAAACUAGAAGUGGCAUAGCAUUAUUGCCAAGUUUAGGCAUAUCUUGAAUCCAUAAUUAGGGGUUCCAAAUUUGUAGUGAGACAAAGCAAUUUUUGCAGCUUGGUCAUGACAUGAAGGACUGAUUUUGCUGGUAUUUCUGGAGGCCCUGCCCCUUGCUGCUGAUUGGUGGAAAGGCAUGUACCAUAUCAUUUAAUAGCAAAUUCCACAGAAAAUAAAUUUCUUUUUAGUCAUCUUCA